rnacentral:piRNA from 1 species
UACUUGAUGUAAUAAAGCUUAUUU